GGUGGCUCAGUGGUAGAGUGCUUGCCUUGCAAGCAUGAGACCCUGGGUUCAAUUCCUCAGCACCA
rfam:Dipodomys ordii contig_4378, whole genome shotgun sequence.